rnacentral:rRNA from 1 species
CCGAUUAAUGGGUUUAAUGGGUGCGCCAGGCGGACUAUAGUCCAGAGGUGAACUCUGCCAGCUUGACUGUAACGUGCCUUGAUACCUGUUAGACCUAGAGUUUAAAGGGACGUAACCCGGAAAUGUGAUGUGUAGCCGGUGAAAUGCCAUAGAUAUGUCACAAGAACCGCCCGAUCGUGAAGACCAGGUUACCGAACCUUAAUACUGACGCUCCAGGCCACGAAAGCCGUGGGGAUCAAACCAGGAUUAGAUACCCUGGUAGUCCACCGCUGUAAACGAUGAUCACUCGUUGUUGGUUAGUAAUAAUCAGUGGCCAAGCGAAAGCGAUAAGUGAUCCACCUGGGGAGUACGAUCGCAAGGUUGAAACUCAAAGGAAUUGACGGGGGCCCGCACAAGCGGAGGAGCAUGUGGUUUAAUUCGAUGAUACGCGAGGAACCUUACCCGGGCUUGAAGGUAAGACGAAUAUAUGGGAAACCAUAUAGCCUACGGGCGUCUUGCUAGGUGCUGCAUGGUUGUCGUCAGCUCGUGCCGUGAGGUGUUAGGUUAAGUCCUGCAACGAGCGCAACCCCUACUAAUAGUUGCCAGCACGUCAAGGUGGGAACUCUAUUAGAACUGCCUACGCAAGUAGAGAGGAAGGUGGGGAUGACGUCAAAUCAGCACGGCCCUUAUGUCCGGGGCUACACACGUGCUACAAUGGCAUAUACAGAGGGCAGCUACUCGGUGACGAGAUGCUAAUCUUAAAAGUAUGUCUCAGUUCGGAUUGGAGUCUGAAACUCGACUCUAUGAAGUUGGAUUCGCUAGUAAUCGCGCAUCAGC